CUACUGUUCUGGCACCUUGUCCACUGCAACCCCGAGUUUCCAAAUUUUAUACCAAAGUGCUGUUUAGGGGCAGCAAACCGAGUAAGGAAUGUGUCAGGGAUUUAGAGAACGUUGCCCAUUGCUUGUGUUCCUUCGUGAAAAGCAUUUCUAGCCACACCCAUAAAGAAGUUGUCUCUCCUGACAAUACACAGUGGGCUUUGGAAUGUGCCCUUCUAUGAUUACAAAUACUGGCUGCAUUAGACUGGGUCCCAACUGCUCAUCCAUCGAUUGGGUUAGGUAAGAGUGCCCCUGUUUAAAGCCUCAGCAACUGCUGAGAAACCAACAAAACAGAGGAACAACA